rnacentral:tRNA from 1 species
UCGAAAUCGGUAGACGCUACGGACUUAAAUAAUUUGAGCGUUAGUAGAAAAAUUCACAGAAAAUCCGUUGGCUUUAUUGACCGUGAGGGUUCAAGUCCCUCUACCCCCAAAACUAUUGAUAUGA